rnacentral:rRNA from 1 species
UACGUAGGGACCAAGCGUUGUUCGGAUUUACUGGGCGUAAAGGGCGCGUAGGCGGCGUGACAAGUCACUUGUGAAAUCUCUGAGCUUAACUCAGAACGGCCAAGUGAAACUGUUGUGCUAGAGUGCAGAAGGGGCAAUCGGAAUUCUUGGUGUAGCGGUGAAAUGCGUAGAUAUCAAGAGGAACACCUGAGGUGAAGACGGGUUGCUGGGCUGACACUGACGCUGAAGCGCGAAAGCCAGGGGAGCAAACGGG